rnacentral:rRNA from 1 species
AGCGAACGCUGGCGGCAGGCCUAACACAUGCAAGUCGAACGAACCUUUCGGGGUUAGUGGCGGACGGGUGAGUAACACGUGGGAACGUGCCUUUAGGUUCGGAAUAACUCAGGGAAACUUGUGCUAAUACCGAAUGUGCCCUUCGGGGGAAAGAUUAAUCGCCUUUAGAGCGGCCCGCGUCUGAUUAGCUAGUUGUUUGAGGUAAUGGCUCACCAAGGCGACGAUCAGUAGCUGGUCUGAGAGGAUGAUCAGCCACAUUGGGACUGAGACACGGCACAAACUCCUACGGGAGGCAGCAGUGGGGAAUCUUGCGAAAUGGGCGAAAGCCUGAAGAAGCAAUGCCGCGUGAAUGAUGAAGGUCUUAGGAUAGUAAAAUUCUUUCACCGGGGACGAUAAUGACGGUACCCGGAGAAGAAGCCCCGGCUAACUUCGUG